UUCAGAUCUAUACGUAUGAAAUACAAGACAUAUGUGUUCAACUUUCCUUCAUCGCCUCCUUUAAACUUUCUUUUUUCUUUUUUGAGUCAGUCCCUGCAGGAACAGACCAAGUGAGCCCAUUAAGAGAACAGUUCAUUCCCACCUGCUACCUCGAGCCAGCCAACAAUCUCAGCCUCACCACUCCAUUCUUGAUUAUGUAGAACCAUUCCAAUCCUGAGUGACAGGAUUUGCAAAGACAGCUGUUGGGCUCCACAAACAUUUGGAGGAGGGGAAAAUGUGAGGUUGGUUGCUACAUUCUCCUACUUCUUUUUACUGAAAGGAACAGCUGCGAUCUUCACAUGUAAGAUGAAGUAAACAAAAGCUGACAAUGCCCAGCACCAUUCAGCAGUAAGCAUUCAAAUGGAUUUUUCCUCACCGCGUUUGCAGGCCCGGCACAGUCUCAGUUCCCCACAGCACAGAGAGGAAGCAAGGUCUUUGCAUGCCCUGUUCACUUGGCCAAACAUUGCCCUAGAUGUGCAAUUCAACCCAUAUAAAGCAAGCGUAAUUCAAGAGCCCUGACUCUUUCACCAUUUCAUGAUGGCUUAUUACUCGCACACGGCAUUGUCAGGUUCCAGCAACUCUGUGUGCAGCAGGCAGAAAUGCAGUGUUUAUCUCUGACAGGCAAACAUUCUUAGGCUCAUCGGCAUGAGUAUCCACGCUGAACUGGCUAUCGGGGAAGUAGAUCCCUGCAUGGGAAAGUCAAGUAUCCCCACUGUGUAGAGCUGGUCCACAAUGGAGAGGAGGAAAAGUUUUGCAUUGGACCAAAUCACUGCCUUAGAAGGAAAGAGAUUGCAAUCCCAUUCAUUUUUAAGAUCUGCAAUGGGUUGGGAUGAUACCCAUUUAAAAAAGAAAAAAAAAGAGGUUACCUCUUUGGCCUCUUUGGCAAAGGAUAUGAACUAGUAAUAAAGCCUCAGCAUCAAGGCUUGGGAGUCUGGCUCAAAGUGGCUAAGACUAGAAGCAUCUUCUAACAUAAAUAUGGCAGCAUUAGGAAAAUAGCUUGGCCUUUAGAGAGACCCAGAUUAUCUUCACCUUAAAAACUACCAAGACCCUGGUCCAGCAAGACCACCAUCACAGCAGUAAAUACAUAGCCACCAACUUCACAGAAGGUUUUCCACUGAGACAUUGUGAAAACCACAAUCCAUUACCGGUGGAUGAGUCCCAGCUCUCUUACUACCUGGAGCUUCCAAGCAAGACUUACCUGUCCUUUGUUCCAGAUUGGUUCCUGGGAUCCUGGACCAACACAAAGAGAAGAGGAAAGCCUCAAGGGAAAUAAAAGUGAAGGUUUCAGUGAUAGUUUAAAUAUAUAUUUUUAAAUGUUAGCUUUUUUUUAAAUACUUCACAGUGAUGGAUGGAGUAUUUCAACCACAAUGGCAAAGAAUGAAUUACCGGCAGUGUCAGAGUUUCUUGUUGCUGUGGGAAGACAGCUGCCAUGUUGAGAGGUGCCUUGUGGAGAGGCUCAUGUGGCGAGGAACUGAGACUGGCUUCUAUCCAACAACCAGUGAGGAACUAAGGCCCUAAAGUCCUAUAGUCCACAAGGAACUAAAUCCUACCAACAACUACAUGAGUGAGCCUGGAAUCUGAUUUUCCCCAGUGGGGACUUAAGGUACCUACAACCUGGCUGUUAUGGGCUAAACUGCAUCCUGCCCAAAUUUAUAUGUUUGAGUCUUAACUCCCAGCACUUCAGAACAUGGUUUUGUUUGGAGACAUAGUCAUUAAAGAGGUAAUGAAGUUAAAAUGAGGUCAUUAGGAUGAGUCCUAAUCCAAUAGGACUGGUGUUCUUAUAUGAAGAGGAAAUUUGAACACAGACACAUAUACAGGAAAGACCAUGCGAAGAAGACACAGAGAGGAAACGGCCAUCUACAAUCCAAGGAGAGAGGCCUCAGAACAAGCCAACCCUGCAGAUACCUUGAUCUAGGCAUCCAGAAUUGUAUGAAAAUACAUUUUUGUUAUUUAAGCUACCCAGUCUGUGGUGCUUUGUUAUGGCAAUCCCAGAAAACUAAUUAACUAAUUGACUGCAGCCUUGCAAGGGACCCUGAACCAGAGGACCCAGUUAAGCCAUGUGCAGAUUCCUGACUCACAGAACUAGGAGAUAACAAAUGUUUGUUGUUCUAAGGUGCUAAAUGUUGGGAAAAUAUGUUAUGUGGCUAUGUUGUUUUGCACAUGUGCCACAUAAUGAUGUUUUGGUCAACAACAGACCACACAUAUGAUGGUGGGCCCAUAAGAUUGUAAUACUGUGUUUCUAUUAUGCAUUCUCUAUUUAUAGAUACACAAAUACUUGCCACUGUGUUACAAUUGCCUACUGUCUUCAGUACUGUAACAUGCUGUACAGGUUUGUAGCCCAGAAGCAAUAGACUAUACCAUACAGUCUGGGUGUGUAGUAGGCUAUACCAUCUAUGUUUGUGAAGUACACUCUAUGAUGUUCACAUAAUUAUGAAGUUGCCUAGUGAUGCAUUUCUCAGAAUGCAUGCCCGACAUUAAGUGACACUUGGCUUUAUGUCUAUCAUGCAUUUAAGAUAUUGCAAUAUAGUUAACUUAUGUUUUAAUACACCUCUUAAUUCUGUUUUGAUCCCACACCAACCAAGAUGCAAAACUAAUUUUUUCGCCCAUUUCCAUAAAAAACACAAUUACAAUGGGCCUAAUGUGGUUUAUGUCAUUUUCCCUGAAGAUUUGUGGUGGUAUAGGAAGCAGUCACAGCACCCUGUAUAAAGCUCUUCCAUGGCCUGCCCCCUUUUCGCAGUCACCUCUAUUAUUUGAAGGAAUGGUCCAACCAACCUCAAAGCUCUGGAAAUUUGCCCCAAAAUAAUUUUACCCUGAAGCCAUUGAAGCUUAAGUUUCAGACCCCAGUUUCACAUUCCUGUGAGUUCUGCAAGUCACUGGGAGCUAUAGAGUCUUCUACGUAGAUUUGGGAAACAAGGUGAAAAUACCUCAAGAAAUCUCAGAAGCCAGGGGCCUGCAUCUCCAAGCCUCUGGCAAUUUUCUUGUGGUUUCUAUCCUCACUCUAGAUAUUUGCUUUUGAGACUGAUUUUGAAUUCAGAAUUUUAUAUUCUCUCAAAAAGAGAAUUCUCCAAAUUCUAUAAGCUUCAGGCUCUACAAAACUUGUCUAUUCUGCCUAACUAGAUUUAUCAUAGCACGUACCAAAGAUGGCCCUGCCUCAUGAGGACUUUUCAUAUCAGACCCUUAGAUAAUAAUAUUCCCUCAUGUAAGUAAUAAUAUUUCCGCAUGUAGUUAUGUAUGAAUAAUUUUCAUUCAUCUAUAUCAUGUUGGCCAUAGUCAGUGUCCAUGUCCAAUUUAUUUUUUGUGUCCUUGGUGCUCAGAAAGUUACCAGAUGUUCAGUCAGAAUUUUAUUUAAAAUAUUUUGAUGAACUAGAUUUAAAGAUAGAUUAAAUUAAUUCCUACACAUGAUUUAAUUUAAUGGAUAAAAUAAGGGACUGAGCAUUAGCCUGAACUGUGUACUUGCAUUAGCCCUGAUGUUCCCCAGAGGGAAUAAUAUGUGAAGAAUACUGCAUAGGCUGAAAAACAAGAGUUCCCAGCAGACCAAUAUUCUUUCUUUCUGCAAGCUGUGAGACACCUGGGGAAAGUUCUCCACAUUUGGUUUUUCAGCUACUCCACCCAUGACUAGAAGGAAGAUUUUAUUUUAUUAUUUUAUUUUAUUGUAUUUUUUAACAGUAAAAGAAAAAUUAUUGUUAUUUUAAUGAAAAAGAACCACCUGGAAAGUCUAGUGACAUUUUUGAAGGCAGGGACCACUUUUUCCAGGGAUUUGUUUCCCUAUGCUAGUGCUCCAUUCACCCUUGCACCACUUCAGCAAAGCACAUAGUAGGUGUAGCAGGGAGAUGUUAAGAUGGAAACUUGGCCCUGACCAUAGGCCAAGCCAGGGUGUCUAGUCGGGAUUUAUCCAUAAACAUCAAUAUUUAUCACUAGAUGAUAUAUUGAUUUCUUAUCUGCCUCCUAUACCUAUUGAUCUAUUUUUCACAGCUUAUAGUGGGGAGGGUCAUGUUCAGUUAUUAUCCUUAAACCAAAACAAUCUCUUCUUGAAAAAUAGGAUGCUAUGCUCUGAUGUUUGCAGAGGCCAGGAAAUUCUUGCUCUGAGAGUUCCAGAAAAAAAGAUUUGUCCAGAUUUGAACUAAUUUCAGAAAAACAAAACAAAAACAAAAAACCAUCCAAGGUUAAGAGGUGACUUCUGACUCACAGAAUGAACAAGAAGGCAGGGGAAAAAAUAAGUCCCCCAAGAUUCAGGUCAAAGGAAAUGAACAGAAGGAUGAUGGAGUGGCCCAGAGGAGGAUCACGUGACAGAAAAGUCAAGAUAAAUUAGUGGCAGGACAGAGGAAAAGAACUAAAGACCUGCAGGAUCCUGAAAGAAAGAAUGAAAGGAAGCAGAUGAAGAUUCUAGAGCCCAGCUGAAUAGCCAGGCCGCCUGAGGGUAAAGAGGGAGAGAAAGAGGAAGCAGUGAAUCAAAUCAAAAAAGGAUAGAAAAAUACAGAGAAACAAGCCAGGGCACGGUGGCUCUCACCUGUAAUCCCAGCACUUUGGGAUGACAAGGAAGGCGGAUCACAUGAGGCCAGGAAUUUGAGACCACGCUGGCCAACAUGGCAAAACCCUGUCUCUACUAGAAAAAUAUGGAGGAAUGUUUGAGAGAUUGUGCACUGCCAGGGGUGAGGACAUAAAUUUAUUUGCUAUGUGAAUGUUUUUUGAGACUCAUCUAGUUCCUUUACAAUUUUAAUUUAGAAUUUCUUUAGCUCCAAAUCAGGAUCAUUAGCUGGGAGUUCUUAUAAAUCAAAAGCAAAACAAAGCUAUUGCAAACAAGUGGGAGUUCUCAUAACCUUAAUCAGAAAGGCUUGAGUUGCAUUUCCAAAUCCUGUCUCUAGAGACCAUGAGUUUUUAAUGAUAGUAUUUCCAUGAAAGCCCAAUUGAAUACAAUCACCACCCAGACCAAAGUGUAGGGGAAAUCAUAAAGCUACUUUCAAAUCCGAGUCUUCUUUGAAAUUUAAAAUUAUAUUCCAUGAUAAUGGUUCUCAUAAACCUUAAUGCAAGGGAAAAAAAAAAAACUACAGCAGAAUAAAGAAGAUUUAAAAAGAAGCAGGAUAGGAAAAAAGACAAGCCAGAGGCUAGCUAUAUCUUUUCAUAAAGCACACCUGGUCUCAUAAGCACAUGAGAGCUAGGCCCAGAAGUUUCGAGCCUUGGAGACUCACUUCAAACAAAUUCCAGGGAAAGACACUCAAUUAAGUGUUCAGGACAAUUGUAUAUCCCCAGUGCACUCAUGUACUGGAAGUGCUUAAACUCUGCCCUCAGUGGUCAAUAAAAUGGUAUUAAGUCACAGACAACCCAUUGCCAUUGGUAUUGGCUGAUGUCUCUGGUAGUUUAUGUGAUGACAAACAUUAGCCUUAACAGCAGAGCCUUCCUUUCUUUGAUUUCCGUGUGAAAUUCUGUGGCUGGGAGAUGUUUAUGUUCACAUGAACAUAACUGUAAGCAAACCAUCUUAUGGUAGACAUCUCUCCAGAAAAAGCAAAUUCCAUCUUUUUAAAUAGAAAAAAAAAACAGCAGCAAAAUGAAAUUAAUGCCUUUGGCUCAUUGUGUUGUAAAAUUAUCCUUGAAGUUAUUUCACACUGCCCUAAAAAAUCAUUGAAUUCAGAUUAUAACACAGCUCUUAUGAAGCUGUUAGGCAGUUGCAUCUUUAAUGAGGCUGAGUAGGUAAGAGGAACAGAUACUCUAGAUUGAAAGCCAUCGCAAAAAAUGUGAAACAACUGUAUUAAAUUUAAUUUAAUUUAACCAAUGGGUGUAUUUAUUCCCUGCCUUCUUCCAGAAAGGAUUUAGGGAGCUUAGGUAAUGUGGAGGUCUGAAGGUGUAGAUACUCAUGAAAGCCUCAGAUUAAUAUCUAGAACAUAUAAUGUGUCCAGAUAGUUUUCAAUUAUCAAUGCAUUAAUCUAAGCUUGGAAAGGACUUUUAAACUGCAAUGAAACCUCAACUAGUUUCAAACCUGCAUUUUUUAGUAAGCUAUUUUGUCAUUUGGAGACCCACACAAAAAACCUAUUGUUCCUUUAAAAAGGAGAGAGAGAAAAAAAGAAAAACAACCUGCUGGUGUUGCUUUGUUCAUCUUAUCACCUUAUCAUUCAGCAGCCUAUUCAGGAUCAAAUGUGGGAAAGUCUGUGUGUGAGAUUAAGCCCUAUACUCAGCACAGGAAUUUCUUGGAUAAAUGUCUUUCUUAAAUGGAUAGCUAUGUAAAAAACAGAAGAGAAACUCUAUUAUUACAAUGCAGUUGGGUUUUUUUGUUUGGUAUGUUUCAAAUCUAAUAUUUAAAAUUAAGAAAAUUCAAAGCAAACCAUCUGUGUGGAUGUUUUCAUACUCCAUUUUUGUGACAAUAGCUUGCUUAACCGAGAUUAUUAGUGGAUUCUUUCAAUAAGAGGAAGAGAGUACCAUCAUUAAGAUGGUAUGCCUCCACUAGCCUUUAUUUUUGAGAUUAAAGAAUGACAAAAAUAUUUAUAUAUAUUUUUUCAUUAUUAAGACGGAGUCUCACUCUAUCGCCAAGGCUGGAGUGCAGUGGCGCCAUCUUGGCUCACUGCAACCUCUGCCUCCCAGGUUCAAGCAAUUCUCCCACUUCGGCCUCCUGAGUAGCUGGGAUCACAGGCACCCGCCACCACACCUGGCUAAUUUUUGUAUUUUUAGUAGAGAUGGGGUUUCACCACAUUGCCCAGGCUGGUCUCAAAUUCCUGACCUCAAGUGAUCCGCCUGCCUCAGCAUCCCACAGUGCUGGGAUUACAGGCAUGAGCCACCACAACUAGCCAAAAAAUAUAUAUUUUCUUUAAAAAAAAGUUAUUUUCUGCCUAAUUACUUCAAUAUUUCAUGAACAUUGUGGGGGAAAGAAUAUUCAUACAGUUCUCUAAAUAUAUCAGUGAGUUGAGGUACCAAAUACAGAAUUCUAUUGAAUUCUAAUUGCAACACUGAAGCAGACUUACUCUAAGAUCCUGCUACCUGGACUAACCACAGACUAUACCCAGAUUCCAUCUGCAAGAUGUAGUGGAGCCAAACAUCACAUCACUGAGGAAUAUUUAUUAUAUAUCUUUCUGUAGAGGUGAGAGAGUAUUUAUAGAUAUAACAAACAAUUGGUCAGAUACUACUGGAGAUUUGGAAGCUUCACUAGGUUUUUCACUAAAUUUGUUGAUAGCCAACUCUAAAGCUCAUUCUACUACUACUAGCCAUCUUCCCUUGGACAAUUUCAUGGGCAUCGCUUCACUGAAAAGAAAAAUGACUAGCAAACAAGACUCAGCUUUGGAGACAAGAAGAAGGAAUACAGGAGAUGUUUCCUUGAAUGAGUCUUCUUCCUAAACUCUGCUAGAAGUAUGUCAGAAAGCGAAGGUUACCUCAGUCUCCAAGUCAUGAAAACAUGAGGUCUUUCUGUUUUCUAGGGAAAGUAUUUCAUCAUUUCCUAGUGUGGCUUUUUGCACACCCCAGAAGGAGGAAGACAAGCCAUCGUGUCACCUUUACAUGGUAGUUGAGAUGCUUCACAUUUGUACAUAACAUCUUAUAUGAUCGAAAGAGGAACUCAAACUCGACAGGGGAGAAUAAGGAAAUACAUCUAAAACUGACAAUUAUGUUAAUCCCUCAAUUCCCUGGGCCCCCAAAAUAGUCUCCUCUAUUUGCCAUUUCAAAAUAGCUAAUGAGAGGGUAAUUGGACAUGUAGACACUGAAUUUCCACUGCUCAUGGUUUCCUUCCCUGGGCUCCCAGUCACCCGGAAGGCCCCGGAUUACCUCAAAUGUCAUAACGGGUUCAUCGCAUUACGAAUUACCUCCUUCUGCCAAUAAACUACAAGUUCUUUGAGGACAGAAACUGUGAUUUAUGGGCAUUUGUAUCCCCAGAGAUUCAAAGAGUGCCUGAUACAGAGUGGUGAUAGAUGAUUUUAUCAUCUUAUCAUCAUCAUCCUCAUCAUCGUUGUACCUAAAUAGAGGUUACUUCCUGUUUCUUUUAUUUAACAAUAACCUAUUAUAAUAUAUACUAUGCAUUUUUAAUGCACUUUACAAAUAUUGUCCUCAUUUAAUCCCUGUAAGGUGAAUACUAUUAUUGGCUCCAUUUUGCAGAUAAGACACUGAGUCGUGAAAAGGCUAAGUACCUCACACAAGAUCACACAGCCAGUGACAGAACUAGGAUUUGGCUGGACUCUUAAAGACUCUGGUUUGCCAUUUAAAGGUACGCUGAGCUCCACAACACUGCCUUAGAACUUGCUCAGAGCAAUUGUCAUAUUACUAUGGUAGGUUUCCCUGUCUCCCUUAAGACUUAAAGCUUCUGGAGAUCAGAAACUGUAUUGUUUACUUGCAAAAUCAUGGGCUUAGGAGCCAGAAAGAUCUCGAUCUAAGUCCUGCCUCAUCUGCUUCUUCUUCAUGGGAUUAGUAGACUGAUUUUCCCCUUGCUUAGCCAUGCAGUUUGAAUGGAAUUCACCCCAUUCUCAGCUACAACCACGGAUCUUGUUUGCUUUAAACCAAUCAUCACUGCCCAAUUUUCUGGCCUUUGAUUGAUUUAAAGGUGAACACAUGACCGCUUUGGACCAAUGAGGCUCAGGUGGUAUUUUGUGAGGGUCUCUGGAAUAGAAAAUCAUUUCUCUUCUGACAGAACUACAAGGCAAGGCGCAAUCACUGAUGGUGAAAGAUAAAGAUCAUUAUAUUAGGAACUGUUGGCUGUCAUACUGCUAAUGUGAGGUGAGUUAGCCUUAGAAAGAGGAUGCUACCUUGAAAGGCAGGGCAGAUCUAUGGAAAUAAACUGAGUUUGUGGUGACAUUGAUAGCCACUUUAGUUCAUCAGCUGAAUCCCAAUCUACUUGGUUUUUUCAGCUCUGUAAGCCAACAAAUACCCUGCUAGUGUUUUAGCCUAUGCCAGUUGUUUUUUCUGCUGCUUGUUAAUAAGACACAUACAGUCUUGGACAAAUUAUAUAAAAAUAUGAAUCUUUGGCCAGGCAUGGAGGCUCACGCCUGUAAUCCCAACACUUUGGGAGGCCGAAGCGGUCGGAUCACAGGGUCAGGAGUUCGAGACCAGCCUGGCCAAUAUGGUGAAACCCCGUCUCUACUAAAAAUACAAAAAUUAGCUGGAUGUGGUGGCACAUGCCUGUUGUCCCAGCUACUCAGGAGGCUGAGGCAGAAGAAUCGCUUGAACCCGGGAGGCAGAGGUUGCAGUGAGCUGAGAUCAUGCCACUGAACUCCAGCCUGGGAGACAGAAUGACACUCGGUCUCAAAAAAAAAAAAAAAUUCUGAAUCUUUGAAUGUUAUCGUAUAGCUUUUUAAAAGACUAGAUUAAGCUAUGGAUGUAAGCACCAAUGCAUUUUUUUAAAAGUAUAUUGGAUGAAUGAGUUAAAGUCUAAGUGAAUUCAGCAAGUUUGUAACCCUUGAGCUCUUGUGAGCUCAAUCUGCCCUCAAUCAUCUGAGAAUGAACAAAACAGACUCAACCAUUUUGUGUCAUCCAGAUGAAUAGAAAGGGCCUGAAUAUAUUCUUUUUUUAUAUUUUUUGUCAUAGGCCCUAGCGUUUUCAUCUGCUCAGUUUUUGAGUGUGCUUGUUAGGGCUUUAAUGCUAAACUCAAUGUAAGCUGGGUUUAUGUAAUUUAGUGGUUUCUAGACUUAGGCUUCCUAAAUGUUCCAUUAGACAAGAAGACAAAAUAUGAAACAAAAUAACAUCAAACUACCAUUAACAAUUAGCAUUGUCAGAGUCAGUAAAAACUGUUUUGAAAUAAAGCAGCUUUUCAGGCCAGUAUUUGAGAACUAAUGAUAGAGUUUUUUUGUAGGCAAUGAAUGAAGUGUUGUGGAACAAAUGUGGAUUUGGACUUUCAAGACCAACUUGAACCAGAGUCUUGAAUCUGCAACUUUACUAGCUGUGGCUUCUUUUUAAUUGAUUAACUUUCUUUUUCUGUAAAAUGGGAAUAAUGAUUCCUACCUCUUACAAGCGUUGUGGUAGGAGGUAUUCCAAAUGAGAUAAAUAUGUGAAAUCACUAAAACUUCCAGAAUACAUGGAAAUAAUAUAUGUCUGUAUUGGCAAAUUAUGAGUGUAGUAAUGAGGGAUUUACAUGGACACAUUUACAUUCUUUAGUUCAGACUCCCUUUGACGACACAUAACAAACACACACAAGAAUAUUUGCCCUGUGUCCAGCACUCUUUUGAGAAUUUCUCUCUUCUCCUCCUUCUGAUAUCCCAACCAACCAACCAGUAGGAAUGUGCCCUAGAAACUAUGUUUUACAGCUCAGUCCACAUCUUUUCACCUUACAAAUUACUUAUUGUUAGUUUCUUGGGAAAGUAAAAUUGAGAUAUUAAGAUUCUAUGAAAUUGGUUGGUGGUAUUGAAGACUGUGCUGCUGCUGCUGCUACUGCUCCAGAACUCUAGUGGAGAUAUUACAAAUGGGAGCAGAAAAAGUGAGAAGGUGGUCUGUAGAGACAGAGCACAGCACAGAGGUAGAAAGGUUGAGAUAAAGAAACAAUGCAGUGAGAGAAGGAGAGAACACAGACAUAGAAACAGAGACAUAAAGGCACCAGACACGAGAGCAGAGAUAAUUUAAUAAGGCCGUAGUUUCUCUUGGAUUUCCAGUUCCUUCUUUUAGUCAAUUCUGAUAUUUAGCACACUGCACUGCACCAGAUAUCUUGUCGCCUUCAAAUAAAGUAUUUUUCCCCCUUAAACAUGCUAAU
rnacentral:lncRNA from 1 species